GAUACCGCCCCCUCUACCCCCGGCCCCCAAAGCCCUUUUGUUUCCAAGAUGGCCUCCGAGUUCUGUUUUAAUACGCACGGAACAAAGCGAAUUGAACACCCUUAAGCUUAGCGGAAAACGAGAAUUGUAGGGAAACUAAGGCACCAGGAGGUCGAGUAGCUGCCGGAAGCAUCGCAGCUAGUAAAUGAGGGAAACGGAGUCCAGCCCAGGCAGUCUAAGGAGAGCCUGCGCCAGGCUGCCGCUGUGCCACAUACUGCCUCCGAAAACACAGCAGGGUGUCCAUGAUGUCUUCUAAUUGCAGCACUUUUGGGGGGACAAGCGUAACCAGGCUGGAUCAUUGACGGAAGAACCAAGUGGCACUCCUGGAGCGGAGAUCUUGGAGGAUCGGAGAUUUAUUUACAUUGAUGGGCUCAGGGAAGACAGUUUCUCCAAAGAUCUGAGCCCCGAGCAAUUGAUAAUCUUACAGCUUCCGCAUAUGUGCCCAUGGCUGAGAGAGACAAACAAGCCAAGGAAGAGGGGGAGGGAGGACUGGCCUUCGGACAAAUGGAGAAGGGCUAACCUAAGAAUCUCGAGUGUGCCUGCCACAUUCCUUUUUUCUUUUUAGGUCAGGGUUUUGUUCCCCGCCCCCGCAUCAUUCGCCCACUUGAUGCCUUUAAAAAUCUUCCUUUUAGUAGGCGUCAUCUUUCUGUCUCAUCGAUUGAUAUCCUUGAAGGGCUGAAAUACACGCUGCAGUUUGGCAUGUGCAGUCUUUUCAGUGAAGCACGCCAGGGUGUUUAGGAUGCGUGGGCCAAUGGUUACGAGCAAGGUUAUGGAAAGGAGUGGUCCUGCCAGGGCAGGGAGCAAGGUGUCCAACUUGCAAAAUCCCAUCCUUUUCAAAGACUGUUACCCUUUUGUUGUCUGCGUUGAAUUCUUUCUGUCAGUUCCCUGACUUUAGUUGUGAUUAUUCCUAAUUGGUUUACAAAAUAACAGCAUUCCUCUCCUA